CGAACGCUGGCGGCGUGCUUAACACAUGCAAGUCGAACGGAAAGGCCCUGCUUUUGUGGGGUGCUCGAGUGGCGAACGGGUGAGUAACACGUGAGUAACCUGCCCUUGACUUUGGGAUAACUUCAGUAAACUGGGGCUAAUACCGGAUAGGAGCUCCUGCUGCAUGGUGGGGGUUGGAAAGUUUCGGCGGUUGGGGAUGGACUCGCGGCUUAUCAGCUUGUUGGUGGGGUAGUGGCUUACCAAGGCUUUGACGGGUAGCCGGCCUGAGAGGGUGACCGGCCACAUUGGGACUGAGAUACGGCCCAGACUCCUACGGGAGGCAGCAGUGGGGAAUAUUGCACAAUGGGCGGAAGCCUGAUGCAGCAACGCCGCGUGCGGGAUGACGGCCUUCGGGUUGUAAACCGCUUUCGCCUGUGACGAAGCGUGAGUGACGGUAAUGGGUAAAGAAGCACCGGCUAACUACGUG
rnacentral:rRNA from 1 species